rnacentral:rRNA from 1 species
CCUACGGGGGGCUGCAGUGGGGAAUAUUGGACAAUGGGGGCAACCCUGAUCCAGCCAUGCCGCGUGUGUGAAGAAGGCCCUCGGGUUGUAAAGCACUUUCAGUGAGGAAGAACGCCUGGUGGUUAAUACCCAUCAGGAAAGACAUCACUCACAGAAGAAGCACCGGCUAACUCCGUGCCAGCAGCCGCGGUAAUACGGAGGGUGCGAGCGUUAAUCGGAAUUACUGGGCGUAAAGCGCGCGUAGGUGGCUUGAUAAGCCGGUUGUGAAAGCCCCGGGCUCAACCUGGGAACGGCAUCCGGAACUGUCAAGCUAGAGUGCAGGAGAGGAAGGUAGAAUUCCCGGUGUAGCGGUGAAAAGCGUAGAGAUCGGGAGGAAUACCAGUGGCGAAGGCGGCCUUCUGGACUGACACUGACACUGAGGUGCGAAAGCGUGGGUAGCAAACAGGAUUAGAUACCCGAGUAGUC